rnacentral:rRNA from 1 species
GACGACCCGUGCGAACGUUGUUCGGAAUCACUGGGCUUAAAGGGCGCGUAGGCGGGUGAUCAAGUCCGGGGUGAAAUCCUCCAGCUCAACUGGAGAAUAGCCUUGGAUACUGGUCGUCUUGAGGGAGGUAGGGGCAUGUGGAACUUCCGGUGGAGCGGUGAAAUGCGUAGAUAUCGGAAGGAACGCCGGUGGCGAAAGCGACGUGCUGGACCUCUUCUGACGCUGAGGCGCGAAAGCCAGGGGAGCAAACGGG